rnacentral:rRNA from 1 species
CUACUGGGGUAUCUAAUCCUGUUUGCUCCCCACGCUUUCGCACAUGAGCGUCAGUAUCGACCCAGAAAGCUGCCUUCGCCAUCGGUGUUCCUUCCAAUAUCUACGCAUUUCACUGCUACACUGGAAAUUCCGCUUUCCUCUUUCAUACUCUAGUCGCCCAGUUUCAAAUGCAGUUCCCAGGUUAAGCCCGGGGCUUUCACAUCUGACUUGGGCAACCGCCUGCGUGCGCUUUACGCCCAGUAAUUCCGAAUAACGCUCGCACCCUCCGUAUUACCGCGGCUGCUGGCAC